rnacentral:lncRNA from 1 species
UUAUUAUUGUAUAUAUGAAGAAGGUAACUAAACUCAUCAUAGAUAAAUAGGAAUGAAAUUUUGUAUCAACGCCAGACGCGCGUUUCGUCUACAAAAGACUUAGAAGUGACGCUCAAAUUAGAAAAUGUUUAAAAAGAAGUACGAAUUGGAAAAACAUUGAGGACCAACAAAUCCUAAAGGUUUUGUCAAAUACAGCUUAUGUAACACAGCUAAAAACUUUAUUUUCAAUGUGGCCAUCUUGAGGGGUUAUACCAUAAAUGUUUUCCAAAUUGUUAAGCAUAUAGUGAGAUAAAUCAGCAUGUAUUUUUGGAUAUAGAUCGGAAAAACAUUUUUUUUUUCAUAUCUCAUUUUAAAACACGUUAAUGCUUUUUUCUAUUCAGCUGCAUGAUUGUUCUUUUGACACAGUUUAAAGUUGAAGCUCUUUUUUAUAUGUAUGUGCUUAAGUGGGAUAUAUCGAUAUUACCCAUAGAACAAAAUUUUGACUAAUUAACGUAAUGGCAGUAAAUGUUCUGUUAUCGGACAGCAGCCGAUUAAUGUACAAAUAUUUUCCUCUACUAUUAUAACCUUAUAAUAACCUGCAAUCUUACUAUAACCAACUGUUUAUUAAUUUAAAAAUAUCUGUAUCUUAAAUUGGUAUUAUCUGUCUACAAUGAUUAAUGUUCUACACACUUUGAUAUACUGACAUCACUAUCUUUGAAAAAUCCUAAAAGUACAAAAAAUAUAUGUAAUUUAAUAUUCACUUACAUAGGUAUGAUUUUCGUACUGUCCAUUCAUCCAAUUUAUUUAACAAAUAGCUUCAUUUUAAGUUUUACUUAGGCGGUAUUCGGCAUACUUUACCAGCUUGUUAUAACUGAGCGAAUGUUGGCUUGUUUACAAAUUUUUGGCAAUGUUUCCUUUAUCAUUGAAAAGUUAAAGGCAUUCUGUCUUUAACAAAAAAAUUACAACAGUUUUUAUAAUAUCCAGAAGCUCUUCUAAUAAUUUAUUUUUUUUCACAUAUUAUAUGCAUUAAAUAGUAGACUUAAAGUUUAUUAUAUUUCUGGAUAAAUGUAUUUUGCUUUUCUUAAAUAUAUACAAAAUAUUCAUUUUGUAUUCGCAACUUC